rnacentral:rRNA from 1 species
AACGAACGCUGGCGGCGCGCCUAAUACAUGCAAGUCGAGCGAGAAGGUGUAGCAAUACACUUGUAAAGCGGCGAACGGGUGAGGAAUACAUGGGUAAUCUACCAUCGAGUGGGGAAUAACCAACCGAAAGGUUGGCUAAUACCGCGUACGCCUCCGGGUCUUCGGGUUCGGAGGGAAAGCUGCACUGUGAGUGUAGCGCUCUUUGAUGAGCUCAUGUCCUAUCAGCUUGUUGGUAGGGUAACGGCCUACCAAGGCUUUGACGGGUAGCUGGUCUGAGAGGACGAUCAGCCACACUGGCACUGCGACACGGGCCAGACUCCUACGGGAGGCAGCAGUAAGGAAUAUUGCGCAAUGGGCGAAAGCCUGACGCAGCGACGCCGCGUGGGGGAUGAAGGUCUUCGGAUUGUAAACCCCUUUCGGGAGGGAGAUGGAGCGAGCAAUCGUUCGGACGGUACCUCCAGAAGCAGCCACGGCCAACUUCGUGCCAGCAGCCG